rnacentral:rRNA from 1 species
GACGAACGCUGGCGGCGUGCUUAACACAUGCAAGUCGUACGGUAAGGCCCUUUCGGGGGUACACGAGUGGCGAACGGGUGAGUAACACGUGAGUAACCUGCCCACAACUUUGGGAUAACGCUAGGAAACUGGUGCUAAUACUGGAUAUGCGCUCCUGCUGCAUGGUGGGGGUUGGAAAGCUCCGGCGGUUGUGGAUGGACUCGCGGCCUAUCAGCUUGUUGGUGGGGUAGUGGCCUACCAAGGCGGCGACGGGUAGCCGGCCUGAGAGGGUGACCGGCCACAUUGGGACUGAGAUACGGCCCAGACGCCGACGGGAGGCAGCAGUGGGGAAUAUUGCACAAUGGGCGCAAGCCUGAUGCAGCAACGCCGCGUGCGGGAUGACGGCCUUCGGGUUGUAAACCGCUUUCAGCAGGGACGAAGCUUUUUGUGACGGUACCUGCAGAAGAAGCACCGGCUAACUACGUG